rnacentral:rRNA from 1 species
GACGAACGCUGGCGGCGUGCUUAACACAUGCCAGUCGAACGGAAAGGCCCUGCUUUUGUGGGGUGCUCGAGUGGCGAACGGGUGAGUAACACGUGAGUAACCUGCCCUUGACUUUGGGAUAACUUCAGGAAACUGGGGCUAAUACCGGAUAGGAGCUCCUGCUGCAUGGUGGGGGUUGGAAAGUUUCGGCGGUUGGGGAUGGACUCGCGGCUUAUCAGCUUGUUGGUGGGGUAGUGGCUUACCAAGGCUUUGACGGGUAGCCGGCCUGAGAGGGUGACCGGCCACAUUGGGACUGGGAUACGGCCCAGACUCCUACGGGAGGCAGCAGUGGGGAAUAUUGCACAAUGGGCGGAAGCCUGAUGCAGCAACGCCGCGUGCGGGAUGACGGCCUUCGGGUUGUAAACCGCUUUCGCCUGUGACGAAGCGUGAGUGACGGUAAUGGGUAAAGAAGCACCGGCUAACUACGU